CAGUCGCCGCGGUAAUACGUAGGUGGCAAGCGUUGUCCGGAAUUAUUGGGCGUAAAGGGCUCGCAGGCGGUUUCUUAAGUCUGAUGUGAAAGCCCCCGGCUCAACCGGGGAGGGUCAUUGGAAACUGGGAAACUUGAGUGCAGAAGAGGAGAGUGGAAUUCCACGUGUAGCGGUGAAAUGCGUAGAGAUGUGGAGGAACACCAGUGGCGAAGGCGACUCUCUGGUCUGUAACUGACGCUGAGGAGCGAAAGCGUGGGGAGCGAACAGGAUUAGAGACCCCUGUAGUCCCUGUCUCUUAUAA
rnacentral:rRNA from 1 species